rnacentral:rRNA from 1 species
AGUGAACGCUGGCGGUAGGCCUAACACAUGCAAGUCGAACGGCAGCACAGUAAGAGCUUGCUCUUACGGGUGGCGAGUGGCGGACGGGUGAGGAAUACAUCGGAAUCUACUUUUUCGUGGGGGAUAACGUAGGGAAACUUACGCUAAUACCGCAUACGACCUACGGGGGAAAGCAGGGGAUCUUCGGACCUUGCGCGAUUGAAUGAGCCGAUGUCGGAUUAGCUAGUUGGCGGGGUAAAGGCCCACCAAGGCGACGAUCCGUAGCUGGUCUGAGAGGAGGAUCAGCCACACUGGAACUGAGACACGGUCCAGACUCCUACGGGAGGCAGCAGUGGGGAAUAUUGGACAAUGGGCGCGAGCCUGAUCCAGCCAUACCGCGUGGGUGAAGAAGGCCUUCGGGUUGUAAAGCCCUUUUGUUGGGAAAGAAAAGCAGCAGGUUAAUACCCCGCUGUUCUGACGGUACCCAAAGAAUAAGCACCGGCUAACUUCGUG